ACAAAUGCUGCGAAAGCGGUUUUUUUUGGGAUAAGCUCUUAAAAAGCUAUGGAUAAUAAAUAACGGGCUUCCCUCGUCAGCCAAACGAGUUACACUUGGAUCUGUGUGCGUGUGCCUGUCAGGGCCUUUUAGAAAAGGGAGUUGUUAUGUUUGUCAGGAGGAUACAAUGAACUCAGUGAAGCAACCGAGUAGAUCAAGAAACUUUAUAGGAUCUGGAUGAGUUGAAUAAGUAAGUACCUUGGUUCUCGACGUGGCAGUCUCUGGAUAGGCCAGAGCAUGCAAUUGAGCUGCUGUCCAGUCUUUUGGCCACGUCUUUUUCAUCAGUUUCACUGCCAGAAGGAUCUGGAAACUUGGAAACUUGGAUACAGGAUAGUGGUCUGAUGUUCAAUU
rnacentral:lncRNA from 1 species